rnacentral:rRNA from 1 species
UACAGAGGUCUCAAGCGUUGUUCGGAUUCAUUGGGCGUAAAGGGUGCGUAGGUGGCGGGUUAAGUCAGGUGUGAAAUCUCGGAGCUCAACUCCGAAACUGCACUUGAUACUGCCUUGCUUGAGUACUGGAGAGGAGAUUGGAAUUUACGGUGUAGCAGUGAAAUGCGUAGAUAUCGUAAGGAAGACCAGUGGCGAAGGCGAAUCUCUGGACAGUUACUGACACUGAGGCACGAAGGCCAGGGGAGCAAACGGG